UGCCAGCAGCCGCGGUAAUACGUAGGGUGCGAGCGUUAAUCGGAAUUACUGGGCGUAAAGCGUGCGCAGGCGGUUAUGUAAGACAGAUGUGAAAUCCCCGGGCUCAACCUGGGAACUGCAUUUGUGACUGCAUGACUGGAGUGCGGCAGAGGGGGAUGGAAUUCCGCGUGUAGCAGUGAAAUGCGUAGAUAUGCGGAGGAACACCGAUGGCGAAGGCAAUCCCCUGGGCCUGCACUGACGCUCAUGCACGAAAGCGUGGGGAGCAAACAGGAUUAGAUACCCUGGUAGYCCAAGGGGCCGAAAUUCGUUUUAAACCUGCARGGACUAG
rnacentral:rRNA from 1 species